rnacentral:rRNA from 1 species
AACGAACGCUGGCGGCAUGCCUAACACAUGCAAGUCGAACGAGACCUUCGGGUCUAGUGGCGCACGGGUGCGUAACGCGUGGGAACCUGCCCUUAGGUUCGGAAUAACUCCCCGAAAGGGGUGCUAAUACCGGAUAAUGUCUUCGGACCAAAGAUUUAUCGCCUUUGGAUGGGCCCGCGUUGGAUUAGCUAGUUGGUAGGGUAAAAGCCUACCAAGGCGACGAUCCAUAGCUGGUCUGAGAGGAUGAUCAGCCACACUGGGACUGAGACACGGCCCAGACUCCUACGGGAGGCAGCAGUGGGGAAUAUGGGACAAUGGGCGAAAGCCUGAGCCAGCAAUGCCGCGUGAGUGAUGAAGGCCUUAGGUUUGUAAAGCUCUUUUCCCCGGGAUGAUAAUGACAGUACCGGGAGAAUAGCUCCGGCUAACUCCGUG